rnacentral:rRNA from 1 species
UGGGGAAUAUUGCACAAUGGGCGAAAGCCUGAUGCAGCAACGCCGCGUGAGCGAUGAAGGCCUUCGGGUCGUAAAGCUCUGUCCUCAAGGAAGAUAAUGACGGUACUUGAGGAGGAAGCCCCGGCUAACUACGUGCCAGCAGCCGCGGUAAUACGUAGGGGGCUAGCGUUAUCCGGAAUUACUGGGCGUAAAGGGUGCGUAGGUGGUUUCUUAAGUCAGAGGUGAAAGGCUACGGCUCAACCGUAGUAAGCCUUUGAAACUGAGAAACUUGAGUGCAGGAGAGGAGAGUAGAAUUCCUAGUGUAGCGGUGAAAUGCGUAGAUAUUAGGAGGAAUACCAGUUGCGAAGGCGGCUCUCUGGACUGUAACUGACACUGAGGCACGAAAGCGUGGGGAGCAAACAGG